UCUCGAUUGGUCUAGUGGUAAGGAUACCUGCUUGUCAUUCUACGAUGUUGUUAUACAACCAUCAUGAGUAGCAAUUCGCAGGUGGCCGGGGUUCGAUUCCCCGAUCGAGAG